GAUGAACGCUGGCGGCGUGCUUAACACAUGCAAGUCGAACGGUGAAGGCGGAGCUUGCUCUGCUGGAUCAGUGGCGAACGGGUGAGUAACACGUGAGCAAUCUGCCCCUGACUCUGGGAUAAGCGCUGGAAACGGCGUCUAAUACUGGAUACGAGCUGCGAAGGCAUCUUCAGCAGCUGGAAAGAAUUUCGGUCGGGGAUGGGCUCGCGGCCUAUCAGCUUGUUGGUGGGGUAAUGGCUCACCAAGGCGUCGACGGGUAGCCGGCCUGAGAGGGUGACCGGCCACACUGGGACUGAGACACGGCCCAGACUCCUACGGGAGGCAGCAGUGGGGAAUAUUGCACAAUGGGCGAAAGCCUGAUGCAGCAACGCCGCGUGAGGGACGACGGCCUUCGGGUUGUAAACCUCUUUUAGCAGGGAAGAAGCGAAAGUGACGGUACCUGCAGAAAAAGCGCCGGCUAACUACGUG
rnacentral:rRNA from 1 species